rnacentral:rRNA from 1 species
UGGGCAACCUGCCCUCAGCUCUGGGAUAACUCCAAGAAAUUGGGGCUAAUACCGGAUAUGACCGCUGACCGCAUGGUCUGGUGGUGGAAAGAUUUAUCGGCUGGGGAUGGGCCCGCGGCCUAUCAGCUUGUUGGUGGGGUAAUGGCCUACCAAGGCGACGACGGGUAGCCGGCCUGAGAGGAUGGCCAGCCACAUUGGGACUGAGAUACGGCCCAGACUCCUACGGGAG